rnacentral:lncRNA from 1 species
CCGCCGCGGGCUCUGCCCGCUCGCCUGCUCGCCUGGUGGGGGAGAGGGGAGCGGGGCCGACACAGGACUGCAGUUGACAGCAGAUAACUGAAAGCUCGGAAAGCGAAACCGUGGAUAAGCAGGGGAACUGUGGCAUCCCAUUUAAAAUUGCUUCUAUGGAUGGAGAUGCAGAAGUUCAGCCCUACGAGGUCCAUGAUUAAUUAGCUGAGCAGAGGCCAGCUCAGUAGCGCACCUCCUGUUUGCUCUCCCUCUUUCUUUGCUGCACACCCCUUUCUCCCUCACUUUUGCUUCCCUGGGAUUGCAUUCCCAAUAAAGUGUUCAUACAUAAACCUUUGCCUCAAGCUCUGUUUCCUGGGAAGCCCAGGCUGGGCUGGGCCCUUCCCCACUGCCAGUCCUGGACACACACUGCAAAUGUUCCCUCCUAGAAUUCUCGUGACUGUUGUCCGGGCUCCACUACUGCACUGCACCCCCACAAGCCAGGCAUUCUUUCUUUACACAGAGCAAUUGAUUAGAUUGA